AUUCAGCUGACGAGUCCCAAAUCGGACGAUACGCGCGUCCUGGAU
rnacentral:hammerhead_ribozyme from 1 species